GGGCUGAUGAAGGGCUGUGCCAAUCCCCCUCUGCUCUGCUCCUUGAAG
ensembl:snoRNA